rnacentral:rRNA from 1 species
GAUGAACGCUGGCGGCGUGCCUAAUACAUGCAAGUCGAGCGAACAGACGAGGAGCUUGCUCCUUCGACGUUAGCGGCGGACGGGUGAGUAACACGUAGGUAACCUACCUAUAAGACUGGGAUAACUUCGGGAAACCGGAGCUAAUACCGGAUAAUAUUUCGAACCGCAUGGUUCGAUAGUGAAAGAUGGCUUUGCUAUCACUUAUAGAUGGACCUGCGCCGUAUUAGCUAGUUGGUAAGGUAACGGCUUACCAAGGCAACGAUACGUAGCCGACCUGAGAGGGUGGUCGGCCACACUAGAGCUGGGACACGGUCCAGACUCCUACGGGAGGCAGCAGUAGGGAAUGUUCCGCAAUAGGCGAAAGCCUGACGGAGCAACGCCGCGUGAGUGAUGAAGGUCUUCGGAUCGUAAAACUCUGUUAUUAGGGAAGAACAAACGUGUAAGUAACUGUGCACGGCUUGACGGUACCUAAUCAGAAAGCCACGGCUAACUACGUG